CCUACGGGAGGCAGCAGUGAGGAAUAUUGGUCAAUGGCCGUAAGGCUGAACCAGCCAAGUAGCGUGAGGUAAGACUGCCCUAUGGGUUGUAAACCUCUUUUAUGCGGGGAUAAAGGUGUCCACGUGUGGAUGUUUGCAGGUACCGCAUGACUAAGGACCGGCUAAUUCCGGGCAAGCAGCCGCGGUAAGACGGAAGGUCCGAGCGUUAUCCGGAUUUAUUGGGUUUAAGGGUAGAGUAGAUGGGUUGUUAAGUAAGUUGUGAAAGUUUGCGGCUCAACCGUGAUAUUGCAAUUGAUACUGUCAGUCGUGAGUACAGGUGAGGUAUGCGGAAUUCGUGGUGUAGCGGUGAAAUGCUUAGAUAUCACGAAGAACCACGAUUGCGAAGGCAGCUUACUAAACUGUGACUGACAUUGAUGCUCGAAAGUGUGGGUAUCAAACAGGAUUAGAUACCCGGGUAGUC
rnacentral:rRNA from 1 species